rnacentral:rRNA from 1 species
AUUGAACGCUGGCGGCAGGCCUAACACAUGCAAGUCGAACGGUAGCAGGAAGAAGCUUGCUUCUUUGCUGACGAGUGGCGGACGGGUGAGUAAUGUCUGGGAAACUGCCUGAUGGAGGGGGAUAACUACUGGAAACGGUAGCUAAUACCGCAUAACGUCGCAAGACCAAAGAGGGGGACCUUCGGGCCUCUUGCCAUCAGAUGUGCCCAAAUGGGAUUAGCUAGUAGGUGGGGUAACGGCUCACCUAGGCGACGAUCCCUAGCUGGUCUGAGGGGAUGACCAGCAACACUGGAAGUGAGACACGGUCCAGACUCCUACGGGAGGCAGCAGUGGGGAAUAUUGCACAAUGGGCGCAAGCCUGAUGCAGCCAUGCCGCGUGUGUGAAGAAGGCCUUCGGGUUGUAAAGCACUUUCAGCGGGGAGGAAGGGGGAAUGGUUAAUAACCAUUGCCAUUGACGUUACCCGCAGAAGAAGCACCGGCUAACUCCGUGCCAGCCGCCGCAGUAAAAC